GGUUGGUUGGUGAGCCGAGUGUAAAACCAACGUGUAAGGGUUCGAUUGUGAUCCCGGAAAAACAAUCGGGGUUGGUUCUAGUCGGUGAGCCUGGGAAAACCGACCGAGUUUGUUGUGAGCUCGUAAAACAACAAGUUUGGUUGUGAGCUUGGAAAACAACCGGCUGUAAUCCAAGGAGUUAUAGUGAAUUCCCAAGUGAUACUUGGGGAGUGGACGUAGGAGCAAGGGUUAGCUCCGAACCACUAUAAAACUUGGUGUUUGUGAUUGAUUGUCUCUUUUUCUCUUACUCUCAUAUCACUCACAGCACAUAGUAAUUAAUCGAACAACUUGCAAUAG
rnacentral:lncRNA from 1 species